rnacentral:rRNA from 1 species
UACCUACGGGGGGCAGCAGUGAGGAAUAUUGGUCAAUGGACGAGAGUCUGAACCAGCCAAGUAGCGUGAAGGAUGACUGCCCUACGGGUUGUAAACCUCUUUUAUGCGGGGAUAAAGGUGUCCACGUGUGGAUGUUUGCAGGUACCGUAUGAAUAAGGACCGGCUAAUUCCGUGCCAGCAGCCGCGGUAAUACGGAAGGUCCGGGCGUUAUCCGGAUUUAUUGGGUUUAAAGGGAGCGUAGGCCGGUCUUUAAGCGUGCCGUGAAAUUUUGUGGCUCAACCAUGAGAGUGCGGCGCGAACUGGAG